CCGUGUAGAGCGUCAAGAGAAGAAACUGCAAGAAAGCGCGGUGACGUUUUUUAUUUCCAACAAGCAUCAAAAUGGCGCACGAAUCGAUUUCUCCGAAGCUUAAGGCUGGAGUGGCAUCUCCAGUACAUAACAGUCGUCUCCAUUCAUUACGGAUCAUGGCUGUAUGUCGCCAGCUACGCAGUCUACAGAGGGUCCGUGACGUCUUCCACCGCUUCCACCUGAUCGAUUCACCUAGCUCGCUGCGCACCUCGCCUUGUGCCUGUCGGAUAUUUGUCGAGAACCGUUCGCACCGGGUAUUGUCAGACUUGCUGGCGCGGUCUGAACGAUGGAUGGUUCUCCGAAUUCAUAGCUGAUGCAGCAUCUUCAGACGCCUUCUCGUAUCAUCAGCCAUCUGCACCCUACCAUUGUGGCUUGCUGAGUCUAAGCUAACAGCGGAGCGGACAUGUGUGCAGGAAAUUGAAUGCAACGCAACGAUGGCGUCGGUAACAGUUGCAGUGGUAAAUCAUCAGCAUCGGUGGCAAUCGUCCGAGGUGUUUGCUGUACAAAAUUCAUGCGAACGACGGCGAAGGUAGCGGUUCAAGCGAGGGUCGAUGCUGAUGCUAAGAGGUCGAUGCUAAGAGUAAAAUAUCAAUGUACUUAAGACACAGGAAACUAAAAAUAACAAAUAAAAUUCAUUACGAACAGCUA